UACGGGGGGAGCAAGCGUUGUUCGGAUUUACUGGGCGUAAAGGGCGCGUAGGCGGCCACCGCAAGUCGGGCGUGAAAUCUCCGGGCUUAACCCGGAAGGGUCGUUCGAUACUGUUGAGCUAGAGUGUGGAAGAGGCAACUAGAAUUCCGUGUGUAGCGGUGAAAUGCGUAGAUAUACGGAGGAAUACCUGAGGCGAAGGCGGGUUGCUGGGCCAACACUGACGCUGAGGCGCGAAAGCCAGGGGAGCAAACGGG
rnacentral:rRNA from 1 species